rnacentral:tRNA from 1 species
GUUGUGGCUCAGUGGUAGAGCACUUGCCUAGCAUGCAAGAGGCACUGGGUUUGAUCAUUAGCAUCACA